rnacentral:rRNA from 1 species
AGUGAACGCUGACGGUAGGCCUAACACAUGCAAGUCGAACGGCAGCACAGGAGAGCUUGCUCUCUGGGUGGCGAGUGGCGGACGGGUGAGGAAUACAUCGGAAUCUACUCUGUCGUGAGGGAUAAUGUAGGGAAACUUACGCUAAUACCGCAUACGACCUACGGGUGAAAGCAGCGGACCUUCGGGCCUUGCGCGAUUGAAUGAGCGGAUGUCGGAUUAGCUAGUUGGCGGGGUAAAGGCCCACCAAGGCGACGAUCCGUAGCUGGUCUGAGAGGAUGAUCAGCCACACUGGAACUGAGACACGGACCAGACUCCUACGGGAGGCAGCAGUGGGGAAUAUUGGACAAUGGGCGCAAGCCUGAUCCAGCCAUACCGCGUGGGUGAAGAAGGCCUUCGGGUUGUAAAGCCCUUUUGUUGGGAAAGAAAUCCAGCUGGCUAAUACCCGGUUGGGAUGACGGUACCCAAGAAUAAGCACCGGCUAACCUCGUGCCAGCAGCCGCCGCGG